GAAGCCUUGUGUGAGCUUGCUCUGCUCUCCCCCUGCCCUGACCCUUCCCACACACUGCUUCCUGCUCUCCGUGCACCAGCUUCCCCACCGCCCUCCUGGGAAAUCUCAAGGGCUGUAGGUGUCCUGCUGCUGGACGUCUGCAGUUGCUCAGUGUAAGGGAAACUGAGCGCACCCUCAGGUCGCAUGGAAGUGACUGUCCCCGGCUCCGACGUGAUGUCUGUCUCUGGCCUUCUGAAGACAGCCACACGCUUAGGUGACUUCUUUCACAAAGACCCAGGAGGGCCGGGACCUGGAUUCCACCAGCAUCCUCGUUCGGGCUGACACGUUCCCCUCAUCCAGGCUGGGUGCUCCCUCCCAAUGCCAGCCAGCGACAUCAGCGACUUCCCCACCUUCGAGGAAGCUCGUGGAACCCGACAGCCUUCCAAGUUGCUCCCACGUGUCUCUCUUCUGGGGGAGGAGGUCAGGAGCAGCCAGUGGUGCCUGUGCAGCACAGACAGAAGAAGAGGGUCUCCGCACGUCGAUGGAGGUCUGCCUGUGGAAGCAUAUUCUCAGCACGCGACUCAGAGGUUUGUUGCAGAACUAGCUGACGGAGUCAACAGGAGUGACUUCACUACCGUGAACUGGCCACAGAAGGAGCUCACUCACUUAAAGAAUUCUGGGCCCAAGCAACAGGACAGCCCUGCUUCUCCAGGGGCUGCAGGACUGGGAGCAGAAAGCUCAGUGCAGGGCAAAGGCUGCAAGCUUGAGGGGUGGGACUUGGCCCCGUUGCUCAGGGUCCUGUCGAUUGGUUACUGUCAUGGUCACUGUGCUCUUUCCUGGCACAGCUGUGUAAAGGGUGUCAAGCCUCAAGACUCAGGGUAGGAGGCAGCACAGGGGCUGAUGGGGGGCCUUUCCCAAGGUGUCCUGCUCUUUGGGGCUUCUCUCUUUGCUGUAGUCUGGUUAGUAAACUCUUCUUUGCCUGGACAUUUUCCCUUCCACUCCAUCUCACUUGCUCUGUAUGAGCACCAACAAGGUAAGACCAUCAGCCCAGCUGUAGGGAGGCUGAGGUGAGGCAGGCUGCAAGAGAAGAGCUGGGUUUGCAGCCCAAGGCUUGGCCUUGGAUCACUCUGACCCGGCCAGCAUGACCUGGGACAUUCUGUUCUAAGAGCCAGUCAUUAAACUGAAGAAAAAAAGAAGGCCAAUACCAAGAAUGUUCACAGGGUUUAAAGCCUGACUUGAGUGCACGCCAUCGUCCCCUGGAAGAAUGCCCUCGGAGAUCUGACUGGAGCAACCCCACCAGAGCAGGCCCAGAAGCAGCGAGAGGCCACAGCCUCACUGGAGGUCCUCACUGUUCCUAAACUCUGUCUUCUUGGAUGACAUUCCCAAGAAAGAAAUAAAGCCAAAAGGAAAUGCAGAUUCAGUACUGUACCAAUUCCUACAACAUCUGCCUCCAUUCCUCCCCCUUCUCUCUCCUCCAGAUAGUAGGAAGGGUGGCUCGGAGGUCAGAUCAUUCUAGGUAAGGUUCUAGGGGGGGGUGGGGCAGUGGCUGAAAGGGGUCUGUGCCCCCCGCCAGCCCUGGCAUCUGUGCUAUGUCCAGAAUGAUCCAGCCCGGCAUAGAGCUGCCUCCAGUCGCCCACAUCUUCACCAAGGGCCUCUGGAGGCACAGGCUGACUCCCACUGUGAGUGUAGUGAAUGUGAAAGAAGAUCCUAGUCAAAGACUAGGCUGAGGUGACUGUGGACUGCGCUCCUCUCCGCUCUGGCCACAGACGCC